GUAACAACAGCGUCGCAAUGGUUUCUGGGAAGCCAAUUCCCUUAAGGCUGCCGAUACGUACAAUAGAAGUCACAUUCGGCAAUAACACAGUAGUUGACUUGAUCUUAUUUGAAUUACUUUAAAAUAAAAAGUGUUUAGCAGCCAGGGGGAGCGCUAAAAAUGGAUGCGCCUCCAGAUUGUGGGGAGACUUGACCCAGCACCCCAUCACAUGACUCAUUGAAGUAGCACCACCAGACGUGACGAAUUCAACAGGGACAGAAGAGGCUUGCAGAUUUCAUUACGAAGAGAGUCUCUACCAGUGAAGUGGACUUCUUUGCCCCGAUACAAAGGCCAAAGCUGAACACAUUUGCCAGUCUCAACAAGACCAUGUCUUCCAAACAGAAGCAAAAAACAGAAACAAUAUUGACAUACAAAUAUUCAGCAAACUGACAGUGAUAGCACAAGCUUGAGAUGUUGAUGUCCAUUACCUCCUUAAGCAUGAGCUUUCCCCUGUUCCUUUGUCAGUGUUCAAUUUGGAUGGAUCUUUCAGCAAAACAAUCAAAAGUGCAACCAUGUCAUGGUUAGAACAAAACCAUAUUUUGCCAGAAAUACCAAACACAACAGAUCCAAGUCUACUAGUAGUCGACUUCAUGAUGAUCAUCCUCAUGGUUUGCACUGGCAGAAGUGAUUGUCGUACAUUUGGAAAUCUUUCUGAGAAACUGCUAGGAAUGAUUCUCAAAACUUGCAACCCAUUGCAGUGGUUGGUGACAGCUAUUCUCAUGACCAGUCAGUCAAAAGUGGAGAAAGAGCGAGACGUGGCAGAAUCCAAAUGCAGGAAAUAAGGAAGCCUUGAAGAGCUACUCCUCUGCCCAAACAGCGACAGAAAAUGUUUUCUAAUCCUGCUAACAAGGCUAACAUGGCAAAUUGUUUUGAUGAAUGAUUGGGUGGAGGUUGUCCAAGAAAGAUUGUCAGCUGGAAGAAAGUUGUUCUUGGCAGGGGGCUUCACAGACACACGAAAGGCAGUUGUGGUGGAACAUGGGCAGAUUAGCAGAGUACAAGAGCUCCAGUCAGACCACGAAGAGGCUGACUCAAGAAUGUUUCUACACAUCAGGCAUGCACUUAAAACACUGAAUGUAAAACGUGUUGUGCAGCAUUGACUUGGAUGUUGCUGCCAUGUGCCCAAGAUCUAUCUUUCUGCUAGAUAUUCAAGAGCUCUUCUUCAGGACUGGAGUUCCACAAAAGCACUACAUCCCAAUGCACACUGGUGCUCAAGAUCUUGGACUUGACAUCUCCCUUGUGUUGCCCUCAAUCAAUGCAUUGAGUGGCUGUGACUCCACAAGUGCAUUCAGUGGGAUAGGAAAAAGAAAGAGGAUGAAGACCCUGACUGCAAAUUGUGACCUACUGGAUGGCCUCAAGCAACUUGGUCAGUUUUCUGCAUCCAUCACUGGUGAUGCCAUGGGAUCAUCUCUACAACACAUGUCACUGGUAUAUGCCAACAGAAAAUGCUCAUCACUGGACAUGCUGAGAUACAAGCUUCUCUCGAAGAAAAGUGCUACCAGUGAAAAGCUGCCACCUACAAUGGAUGCAUUCUCAGAGCAUGUAAAGAGAGUAAACUAUCAAAGUUUCAUAUGGUUGCAUGCUACAGAACAGUUUUUGAAUCUCCCAUCACCAGUUGGCAAUGGAUGGCAAGUUGAUGAUGGUGGAGAGCUUACACCAGUGCUGAUGAAAAAAAAAAACAGCAUCUGCAGCAGUCUUGGCUUUUGCACAAUGUCACUGCAAAGCUGCUUGUGCAACUAAGCAAUGCAGAUGUAGAAAAGAGGGAAUGGUGUGCGCUGAUGCUUGCUCUUGUGAUAAUGAAGAAUGCACCAACAGACUUGUUGAAGCCUUGUCUGACUCUGAGAGCAAUGAUGAAUCUUAACUGUCACUUAUUUCUCAUAGUCUUGUGCUUGAAGGCUAAUUAAUGCUUUGAGACACAUGCUGUAUUUUAUUCACAUGACAAGACUGCUAAGAAAUAAAUAAGAAAUAAAUAAUAUUAAAAUCCUCUAAUCAUCAUGUUGAUGAUGCUGAUUUUAGACAAAUGCUGAGAAGAAUCAGGUUUCAGUCAAUCCAGACAUCCUCUUGAAGUUUAAUUGCUGCAAGUAAAUUGAUUUAUUGUCAUCCUGUAGUACAGAAGAUUAGAUUAUCUUGAAAUAUCCCUUCUUCAUAGACAUACUUUUUAUGUCAGAGUCCCUCAGCAAACCCCUCUGUAGAAAAAAAACUGCACCACUUCAGUAGUCCACAUCCACCCUAGGGGUUGCCCACAAAGGUCAUAGAAAAGCAUGGCAGCAUCAGAAAUGUUCUAGCUUCAUGGGUGAACCUUUUUGGUCCUAGCUGCUAGACUAAUUAUAGGGCCAGAUGGCAAUCCUAAAUGGUAUGCAGUAGGUUUGUAACGAUAACGAUAAUAAUAAAAUUCUUUAUCGAUUGGGACCCCACAAUAACAAAUCGAUAAUAUUUUAAUGAAAUCGAAUAUUCCAUGAAAUUAAAAGCGUCAAGAACGUAAUCUGUGUUGUUGCUUCUAAAAGUUACUGAGAAUAUGCGUCUGUGAACAAAUACAGGUUGACGAUGUAGCG